rnacentral:rRNA from 1 species
AUGAAGGCUUUAUUUUGGAAUAUUAGAGGUUUCAGCGCUAGGGGCCGCAGGGACCAGCUCAAAGAUCUUGUUCGGUCUGAGAACAUUGACAUCAUUGGACUUGUAGAAAUGCUUAAAUCUUCCUUCUCUCCUAAUGAACUUUCUGCCGCUACUGGGAUUGAUAGGUUUGACUGGAAUUUUUUGCCUUCUUCAGGCCACUCGGGUGGAAUUCUUAUUGGUACCAACAGAGACAUGUUCGAUUUUGUGGCCUUCGACCAUGGCAUUUUUUGGACUAGCACAGUAGUGUCUCAUCGCUCCCUCAAUAUGCUUUGGGAAGUCAUGGUUGUUUAUGGCCCGGCUGACCACUCCCUUUCUUAUAUUUUCUUGGACGAAAUUCUGAAUAAGAUCGAAUCUUGUGACCUCCCUUUUCUUAUUGGUGGUGAAUUUAACUUGAUG